GGCGAGGUGAUGUUUGCUGCUCUGGGACCCUUCAGCUGUCAGGCUUGGACUUUCUCAAGUGAGGAAUGAGGACAUUGGAAGGAUUAUUCUAAAAUCUCUAUUGAACAAAAUGCUACUCAUCUUGAUCUCCAGGCAGCUCUCACUGAUGUUGAAAAGAAAGACAUUUGCAGAUCUGGAGCUAUGGCUUAUCUUCAAGAUAAAAAGAUAUAAAAAUGAAGAAUUAAACAGUUAACAAAUGACUAGCUCUCUACCCCCAACAGCCCGCUUAAGCAAUCCUGCAGGUAGAUCAUGCAGGCAAGAUCACAUCUGAAGAAAGAGUCAGCCAGUCUACCUAAUGGAGAAUGAUGCAGAACCCAACCUCCUGCCUCGAUGAUUCACUGAGAUUCUUCCCCUUUUUCCCCUUUAAAAACUGUCAUGGCUGAGCAGAAUCUUCAAAGUUGGCCUCUGGACAUGAGUCCAACUUCUCCCCAGAUU